GAGGGUACAGCUCAGUGGUAGAGAGUGUGUUUAGCAUGCACAAGGUCCUGGGUUCAAUUCCCAGUACCUCCG
rnacentral:tRNA from 1 species